rnacentral:lncRNA from 1 species
UAUAGUGAAAUUUUCUAGUUGAUCACAUUAUUCUGCGUGAAUUAUCCUAUAGUUAUGUUUGUGAGUGUGUCUUAUCAUUUAGCAUUUCUCAUUUCUUGGAUCAAGAUAAGCAGUAGGUAAGUAUUGUGAAUGAAUUGAAUUAAGUUAAUUCUUUCGAUGCAGUUGUUCUUUGUCUGCUUUCUAGUGCUCAAGAAAUAGAAAUUUAAAAGUUUGAUAAUCUUGUCGUUGCCCAACUAUUAGCAAUAGAGAUACAUUGUCGAAAGUUUAUCAAGAGUAAGAAAAGAUGGAAAAAAUAGAGGGGCUGGAGAAUGGGUAGAAUAUAUAAUUUGUAGAAAUAAUGUGUUAUGACAAGGAGAACGAAGGAUGCUGCAAAUGAAUAAGGGACUAUGGGGCUGAAAUUGUAAUAAAAGAAGAGUAUAGAAGUUAGCAGGGAAUUAGUUAGAUGGUGGCAGGAAUAGUUAUUUCUUUACAAGAAUACAUAAAAAUAGGGUAGCUUGUAUCAAGGAAGAUUCAUUCAAGAAUCAAAUACAAGAAAUAUCUCUUCUUCUCUAUUUUCUCUCUAAACCUCCUCCCAUCUUUUCUCAAUCCAAUCUAUUCCCCUCCUUUCCUCUCCCUAUUUCUCUGUUUAAAAUGGCAUUGCAGGCUGGACAUGUAACAAUUGGUAUCAGAGCUUUGUCGAGGAUGGGCUUUGCUUCCAGUUAAAUAUAUGGGAGUUGCAAUCAGGAGCAGAUCAGUAGCAGUCCUCCAAGUUACAGGUUUCUCCUGCUCUCUUUCUUCUUCUAUUUUGCCUUCUUUCCUCCAAUUUUCUUUCUUCCUCCUCAAAUUUCUUUCUUUCCCUUUCUUUCUUCUUUCUUCUUGACAGAACCUUUCUUCUUCUUUCCCUGAGAAUUCUUCUCCUUAUUCCUCUAUUCCUUCCUUCUUUCUUUUCCAGAAUUUUCUUCCUUAAACAGAAAAUUCUUCCAUAUCUUUCCUACUGUUAUUGCUCUGUUUCUUCUUCUUCUUAGCAGAACCCUGUUUCUGCUCUUCUUUCUUUCUUCUGGUAAUCCAUAUUUCCUUCCUCCUUUUCUAAUUUCUUCUUUCCCAAGAAUUCUGAAGUUAGGGUUUCUUUCUUCAAUUUUGGAAACCCCUCUUUCGUCCUCCACUUCCUGCUUUCUUUCUUGAAAUUCUUCUCUAUUCUUGAUCUUAUUGAAUCUUUUCUUUCUUCUGUUCUUUCUCUCUCUUGAGACUCUUUAUCCUCUAUUUUCCUCCUUCAAUUUCUUUGCUUUUUGGGAAAGUACCAACAGCAGAACAUGGAAUUAGAAGAGAUUCUUCUGGGUAUGCUUGGAAGUUUUGAAAGAUGGGAAAAGAAAAUGGAAAAUUUUGAGAAGUCGAUUAAGUGAAAAUAGAACUCCAAGGGUCUGAAUCAGAAUUGAAUGUCCAGAUCCAAGACCAAGAAUCUGAGGAUCCUUGGAAUAAUGGCUACGAAAGGGAAUUGUCGGCUCAAAAAAGAGAGACAAGGCAAUCUGGUGUUAAGGGUGAAACUCAGCUGUUUGAUGAUGAAGAAAAGGAGUUUGAUAUUAUUAGUGAUAGAGAAGAGGAAGAUGAUGAUAUUGUUGGUGAUGGAGAAGAGGAAGAUGUUGACAUUGUUGGUGAUCGAGAUGAGGAUGAUGUUGACAUUAUUGGUGAUGGAGAGGAGAAUGUUAACACUGCGAUUAAGCAGGAGGCAAAUUCUGUUGAUGAGCAGGAGUUUUUUUGUUGAUAUGUCCAAUAUAAGUGACGUCUAUUAGGAGGAGAAUGAUGAAGAUGGUGAUGAUGGGCAACUAGAGUCUGAAAUGAGGAAAAUAUUAGUUGAAUCUGAAGUUUUUGAACUACUCGUUCCCAAAGUUGAAUGUUUUGCUAUUGAAACUCUUGGAAAUGUUCUUCAAAAAAGAAAGAUGAAGCCUCCAGCAAAGUGUAUGGUGAAGGGUUUGCAGAUGAGGACAAGGAACAUGAUUGCUCCGGGGUUACUAUUGAUUUAGUUGCGCACCACAAAGUCCAUAAAACUGGGACUUUUUGGAGCAAUGGAGGUGAAGCGCUUACCAAUUCAAGAGGGUAAAACUGAUGGCUUAGAACAAUAAUUGGGGGCUAGUAAGUUCCUUGCUUUUGAUGGUGAAAUGGAAAACUUCAACAACAUAGUGCAACCUUCAAAUCCAGGAGCCCAUGGUAUUAUUCUUGAUCUUGGCUAUAUUGAAAUUUUAGAAAAAGUGCUGGUGGUGCCAUAAAAAAAAUUUGGAUUGGUACAAGUUAAUUGGGACUGGGAUGCUUCCAUUGUUGAGAUUUAUGAGAAGGGUUCUCAUGAAGAAAAAGCUAAAGCGAUUGAAGAAACAGGGAAUGUUGCAAGUAAGUGACAAUAUUUUGAAGACCAUGAUGUUUUGUUCUAUUCUUGUGAAUUCCUAAUCUCCAUGGUGGAUAAAUGGGAGAUAUUAAGAAGGAAGAAGCAGAAAGUAAUCUUGACAGGAGCUGCAUGUGUAAUUCUGAAAGAAGAUAUGUUUGGAAAGAUAGGGAAGGCAAAGAGAGAAAGGCAAAUAUGAAGAAAGGAAGUCCAGUUUCAGUAUAAUGUGAAUUUCAUUACAGUUCCUAAUAGUAAUUUGUGCUGAUCGUUUUUCUCUCUCUUCAUUCUUGAGGACAUAGAAUGAUUUCAAGAAGUGGGGAAUGUUAUGAUAAGGAGAAUGAAGGAUGUUACAAAUGAAUAAGGGACUUUGGGGCUGAAAUUGUAAUAAAAGAAGAGUAUAGAAGUUAGUAGGGAAUUAGUUAGAUAGUGGCAGGAAUAGUUAUUUCUUUACAAGAAUACAUAUAAAUAGGGUAGCUUGUGUCAAGGAAGAUUCAUUCAACAAUCAAAUACAAGAAAUUAUCUCUUUUCUAUUUUCUCUCUAAACCUCCUUCCCUUUCUGUUUAUUUUCUCAAUCCAAUCUAUCCUCUCCUUUCCUCUCCCUAUUUCUCUGUUUCAAGUGGCAUUGCAGGGUGGAACAUAAUGUUCCGGUGAAUAAUUCUUCUUCA